rnacentral:rRNA from 1 species
GAUCAUGGCUCAGGAUGAACGCUGGCGGCGUGCCUAACACAUGCAAGUCGAACGAGGUAAAUGAGAUGAAGUUUUCGGAUGGAUUCUUAUUUACCGAGUGGCGGACGGGUGAGUAACGCGUGGGUAACCUGCCUCAUACAGGGGGAUAACGAUUGGAACGAUUGCUAAUACCGCAUAAGCGCACAGUACCACAUGGUACAGUGUGAAAAACUCCGGUGGUAUGAGAUGGACCCGCGUCUGAUUAGCUAGUUGGUGAGGUAACGGCCCACCAAGGCAACGAUCAGUAGCCGACCUGAGAGGGUGACCGGCCACAUUGGGACUGAGACACGGCCCAGACUCCUACGGGAGGCAGCAGUGGGGGAUAUUGCACAAUGGAGGAAACUCUGAUGCGGCGACGCCGCGUGAGUGAAGAAGUAUUUCGGUAUGUAAAGCUCUAUCAGCAGGGAAGAAAAUGACGGUACCUGACUAAGAAGCCCCGGCUAACUACGUG